GAUGAACGCUGGCGGCGUGCCUAAUACAUGCAAGUCGAGCGAACCGCCUUGAACUUUUUCCCCCUGACGUUGGCGGCGUAAGUGUGAGUCACACGUGGGUAACAUACCUAUAAAACUUGGAUCACUUCGGGAAACCGGAGCUAAUACCGGAUAAUAUAUCGAAACACAUGGAUAAAUAGGCAUAGCUGGUUUUGCUGUACCUCAUAGAUGGAUGCGCGCCGCAUUAGCUAGUUGGUAAGGUAUCGGCUUACGACGUCCCAGAUGGUUAACCCACCUCAGAGGAUGAUCGGCCACACGGGAUCUGAGACAGAGUCCAGACUCCUACGGGAGGCAGCAGUCGGGAAUCUUCCGCAAGGGGCGAAAGCCUGACAGAGCAACACCGCGUGAGUGAUGAAGGAGUUCCGAUCGGAGAACUCUGUAAUAUGGGAAGAACAAAUGUUUAAGUAACAAUGCACGUCUUGACGGUACCUAAUCAGAAAGCCACGGCUAACUACGAG
rnacentral:rRNA from 1 species